CACUCGCAUGCAGCUGUCCUAAUACGGGCAUGGUCGAUCAAUGCAUGUUUCCAGCUAUAGACUAAAUUUUGAUCUAGGCAAGAAGAACAAAAUCCAUCACCACAGCUAGAAAGAGCAUGUUGAAAUUAAUAAAAUUGCAAAGUUUGGUUGCGAAAUGUUGUAAAAUGAGGAAAAUAUAGCUCUACGAAAUUUGAAAAUUUUGUAUUAAUUUGUAUUACCCGCGGG